rnacentral:rRNA from 1 species
AGUGAACGCUGGCGGUAGGCCUAACACAUGCAAGUCGAACGGCAGCACAGGAGAGCUUGCUCUCUGGGUGGCGAGCGGCGGACGGGUGAGGAAUACAUCGGAAUCUACUCUGUCGUGGGGGAUAACGUAGGGAAACUUACGCUAAUACCGCAUACGACCUACGGGUGAAAGCAGGGGACCUUCGGGCCUUGCGCGAUUGAAUGAGCCGAUGUCGGAUUAGCUAGUUGGCGGGGUAAAGGCCCACCAAGGCGACGAUCCGUAGCUGGUCUGAGGGGAUGAUCAGCCACACUGGAACUGAGACACGGUCCAGACUCCUACGGGAGGCAGAAGCGGGGAAUAUUGGACAAUGGGCGCAAGCCUGAUCCAGCCACACCGCGUGGGUGAAGAAGGCCUUCGGGUUGUAAAGCCCUUUUGUUGGGAAAGAAAUCCAGCUGGCUAAUACCCGGUCGGGAUGACGGUACCCAAAGAAUAAGCACCGGCUAACUUCGUGCCAGCCGCCGCGGUAA